rnacentral:rRNA from 1 species
GACGAACGCUGGCGGCGUGCUUAACACAUGCAAGUCGAACGGAAAGGCCCUGCGUUUGUGGGGUGCUCGAUUGGCGAACGGGUGAGUAACACGUGAGUAACCUGCCCUUGACUUUGGGAUAACUUCAGGAAACUGGGGCUAAUAUCGGAUAGGAGCUCCUGCUGCAUGGUGGGGGGUGGAAAGUUUCGGCGGUUGGGGAUGGACUCGCGGCUUAUCAGCUUGUUGGUGGGGUAGUGGCUUACCAAGGCUUUGACGGGUAGCCGGCCUGAGAGGGUGACCGGCCACAUUGGGACUGAGGUACGGCCCAGACUCCAACGGGAGGCAGCAGUGGGGAAUAUUGCACAAUGGGCGGAAGCCUGAUGCAGCGACGCCGCGUGCGUAAUGACGGCCUUCGGGUUGUAAACCGCUUUCGCCUGUGACGACGCGUGAGUGACGGUAAUGGGUAAAGAAGCACCGGCUAACUACGUG